ACACGGCCCAGAUUCCUACGGGAGGCAGCAGUGGGGAAUUUUGGACAAUGGGGGGAACCCUGAUCCAGCCAUGCCGCGUGUCUGAAGAAGGCCUUCGGGUUGUAAAGGACUUUUGUCAGGGAAGAAAAGCUUGAGGUUAAUACCCUUGAGUGAUGACGGUACCUGAAGAAUAAGCACCGGCUAACUACGUGCCAGCAGCCGCGGUAAUACGUAGGGUGCGAGCGUUAAUCGGAAUUACUGGGCGUAAAGCGGGCGCAGACGGUUACUUAAGUCAGAUGUGAAAUCCCCGGGCUCAACCUGGGAACUGCGUUUGAAACUGGGUGACUAGAGUAUGUCAGAGGGGGGUAGAAUUCCACGUGUAGCAGUGAAAUGCGUAGAGAUGUGGAGGAAUACCGAUGGCGAAGGCAGCCCCCUGGGAUAAUACUGACGUUCAUGCCCGAAAGCGUGGGUAGCAAACAGGAUUAGAUACCCUGGUAGUCCACGCCCUAAACGAUGUCAAUUAGCUGUUGGGGCACUUGAUGCCUUAGUAGCGUAGCUAACGCGUGAAAUUGACCGCCUGGGGAGUACGGUCGCAAGAUUAAAACUCAAAGGAAUUGACGGGGACCCGCACAAGCGGUGGAUGAUGUGGAUUAAUUCGAUGCAACGCGAAGAACCUUACCUGGUCUUGACAUGUACGGAAUCCUCCAGAGACGGAGGAGUGCCUUCGGGAGCCGUAACACAGGUGCUGCAUGGCUGUCGUCAGCUCGUGUCGUGAGAUGUUGGGUUAAGUCCCGCAACGAGCGCAACCCUUGUCAUUAGUUGCCAUCAUUAAGUUGGGCACUCUAAUGAGACUGCCGGUGACAAGCCGGAGGAAGGUGGGGAUGACGUCAAGUCCUCAUGGCCCUUAUGACCAGGGCUUCACACGUCAUACAAUGGUCGGUACAGAGGGUAGCCAAGCCGCGAGGUGGAGCCAAUCCCAGAAAACCGAUCGUAGUCCGGAUUGCACUCUGCAACUCGAGUGCAUGAAGUCGGAAUCGCUAGUAAUCGCAGGUCAGCAUACUGCGGUGAAUACGUUCCCGGGUCUUGUACACACCGCCCGUCACACCAUGGGAGUGGGGGAUACCAGAAGUAGGUAGGGUAACCGUAAGGAGCCCGCUAC
rnacentral:rRNA from 1 species